rnacentral:lncRNA from 1 species
UAAACACUACAAACAUCGGGGAGAAAUAUGCGUUAACAUUCUGGUGUUGUUGCAUGCAAUGUAGUUACAUCCCAAAUGCCAUCCCAGCCUGAUUGCAUGGCACAGUGUAGCACAGCAUGGCACAGCACAGCAUGGCAAAACACAACAUGGCAAAGCACAGCAUGGCAUAGCUCAGCAUGGCACAGCACGGCACAGUGUGGCACAGCACGGCAACAUAACACAGCACAACAUAACACAGCACAGUGCAGCACAGCACAACCCAGCACGGCACAGCACAGCAUGGCAUAGCACAGCACAACUCAGCAUGGCACAGCACAGCAUGGCACAGCACAGCUCAACAUGGCACAGCACAGUGUGGCACAGCACAGCACAACGUGUCAUAGCACAGCAUGGCACAGCGUAGUGUGGCACAACAUGGCACAGCACAGCAUUGCACAGCACAGUGUGGCACAGUGUAGUGUGGCACAGCAUGGCACAACACAGCAUUGCACAGCACAGCAUGGCACAGCAUAGUGUGGCACAGCACAGUGUGGCACAAUAUGGCACAACACAGCAUUGCACAGCACAGUGUGGCACAGUGUAGUAUGGCACAACAUGGCACAACACGGCAUUGCACAGCAUGAUGUGGCACAGCAUGGCACAGCAUAGGGUGGCAUAGCAUGGCACAACAUGGCACAACACAGUGUGGCACAGCAUGGCACAGCUCAACAUGGCACAGCACAUAGUGGCACAGCACAGCACAACGUGGCACAGCACAGUGUGGCACAACAUGGUACAGCACAGCAUUGCACAGCACAGUGUGGCACAGUGUAGUGUGGCACAGCAUGGCACAGCACAGUGUGGCACAGCACAGUGUGGCACAACAUGGCACAGCAAAUCAUUGGACAGCACAGUGUGGCACAGUGUAGCGUGGCACAGCAUGGCACAGCACAGCAUGGCACAGCACAGUGGCACAGCACAGCGUGGCACAACAUGGCACAGCGUAGUGUGGCACAACAUGGCACAGCACAGCAUUGCACAGCACAGUGGUACAGCACAGCAUUGCACAGCACAAUGUGGCACAGUGUAGCGUGGCACAGCAUGGCACAUCACAGUGGCACAGCACGACACAGCGUUGCAUGGCACAGCAUGGCAC